rnacentral:rRNA from 1 species
GACGAACGCUGGCGGCGUGCUUAACACAUGCAAGUCGAGCGGUAAGGCCCUUUCGGGGGUACAUGAGCGGCGAACGGGUGAGUAACACGUGGGUGACCUGCCCUCAGCUCUGGGAUAAGCCUGGGAAACUGGGUCUAAUACUGGAUAUGACUCCACGGUGCAUGUCGUGGGGUGGAAAGCCUUGUGCGGCUGAGGAUGGGCCCGCGGCCUAUCAGCUUGUUGGUGGGGUGAUGGCCUACCAAGGCGACGACGGGUAGCCGGCCUGAGAGGGCGACCGGCCACACUGGGACUGAGACACGGCCCAGACUCCUACGGGAGGCAGCAGUGGGGAAUCUUGCGCAAUGGGCGAAAGCCUGACGCAGCGACGCCGCGUGAGGGAUGACGGCC